GCCUAGCCGUAAAAUUUUAUUUACAUUAUACACCGCCAGGGAACUACGAGCAAAGCUUAAAACCCAAGGGACUUGACGGUACCCCACAUCCACCUAGAGGAGCCUGUCCUAUAAUCGAUAACCCCCGCUUAACCUCACCAUUUUUAGCCUAUCAGCCUGUAUACCUCCGUCGUCAGCUUACCACGUGAGCGUCAAUUAGUGAGCUCAAUGUUUAUACAUCAACACGUCAGGUCAAGGUGCAGCAUAUAAAAUGGGAAGAGAUGGGCUACACUACCUAAUGUAGAUAAUACGAAAGACUAUAUAUGAAACCUAGUCAGAAGGCGGAUUUAGAAGUAAGAAAAGAUCAAAGUGCUUUUCUUAACCCGGCACUGGGGUGUGUACACACCGCCCGUCACCCUCUUCAAAGCAAUAAAACAGUCUUUAACUAAAUAAAUGCCCCGUAGAAGAGGCAAGUCGUAACAUGGUAAGUAUACCGGAAGGUGUGCUUGGAAA
rnacentral:rRNA from 1 species